UAAUGGGUUCUAUAUUGUCUUUUAUCUAGUUGCGCCACGCCACUCUCGUCUGAGGAAGACACAGAAGCAGCGGGGCAGCGCUUUGUCUGUGUGUUUGUGUCAGAUUUUUGCACACCAGUUUAACCUAGUAACAUUUACCCAUCAACAUGGCGGUAACAAACUUUACUAUGGUAAACUGCGCUGUUGUUUCAAAGGACUUUUGUCAGCUUAUUGAAUUAAGUUACCGAAUUAAAAUUAUUUUAACGAGCAACGCUUAUCUUAACAUUAUCUUAUAUUAACAUUGUUAACUAAUGUGAAAUUUUGUUCAGGUGUUAGUAGGCUAGUUAAUGUUGGCCAGCAGCCUUUUGAGAAAAUAAAAUCGUAUGCUAGCUAAGUUAAACAAGUUUUAUGGCAAACUGCCUUUCUAGUUUUAGAAUUAGUUUGUUAUAGUUUUUAAUGGAUAAUGAAAUUUAAUGAAUUUAAGAUUUACUGCAUUUUUUGUAUUUGUGUUUUAAAGGCAACUGCAAUGAAGCAUCAAGAAAGACAUGAGCAUGCCAGCCACCCUGAAUUCAUGAGAAGACAAUUCUGUCACUAACAAAGUGGAUGGUGAGCAAAGGUGGUGGCCAUGUUUUGGAGCAGCACUUGGGUUUUGCAGAUGGCUAUGUAUUCUUUGGCUGCUUGUCUUUUUUCCCCAUUAUGUUUCUGUUGCCUAAAGAUUCUUUGUGAGGAUAAAUCCAGAGGAUAUAACAUAUUGCACUGCAAAACGUCCUAAGACAGGAGAAAUGGUGAAGAUGCACUGUUCCAGCAUUGGAAGACUGUAUUUUAAGUGUUAUACUUGCAAUGUUUUAAAUAAAUAAUUUGAUUUUG